rnacentral:rRNA from 1 species
UGAUCCUGGCUCAGGACGAACGCUGGCGGCGUGCCUAAUACAUGCAAGUCGAGCGGACCUUUUAAAAGCUUGCUUUUGAAAGGUCAGCGGCGGACGGGUGAGUAACACGUGGGCAACCUGCCUGUAAGACUGGGAUAACUUCGGGAAACCGGAGCUAAUACCGGAUAAUAUAAGGAACCUCCUGGUUCUUUAUUGAAAGAUGGUUUCGGCUAUCACUUACAGAUGGGCCCGCGGCGCAUUAGCUAGUUGGUGAGGUAACGGCUCACCAAGGCGACGAUGCGUAGCCGACCUGAGAGGGUGAUCGGCCACACUGGGACUGAGACACGGCCCAGACUCCUACGGGAGGCAGCAGUAGGGAAUCUUCCACAAUGGACGAAAGUCUGAUGGAGCAACGCCGCGUGAGCGAUGAAGGCCUUCGGGUCGUAAAGCUCUGUUGUUAGGGAAGAACAAGUGCGAGAGUAACUGCUCGCACCUUGACGGUACCUAACCAGAAAGCCACGGCUAACUACGUGCCAGCAGCCGCGGUAAUACGUAGGUGGCAAGCGUUGUCCGGAAUUAUUGGGCGUAAAGCGCGCGCAGGUGGUCCUUUAAGUCUGAUGUGAAAGCCCACGGCUCAACCGUGGAGGGUCAUUGGAAACUGGGGGACUUGAGUGCAGAAGAGGAAAGUGGAAUUCCAAGUGUGGCGGUGAAAUGCGUAGAGAUUUGGAGGAACACCAGUGGCGAAGGCGACUUUCUGGUCUGUAACUGACACUGAGGCGCGAAAGCGUGGGGAGCAAACAGGAUUAGAUACCCUGGUAGU